rnacentral:rRNA from 1 species
AUUGAACGCUGGCGGCAUGCUUUACACAUGCAAGUCGAACGGACUUAGGUGCUUGCACCUAGGUUAGUGGCGAACGGGUGAGUAAUGCAUCGGAACGUACCGUGUAAUGGGGGAUAACGCAGCGAAAGUUGUGCUAAUACCGCAUACGAUCUACGGAUGAAAGCAGGGGAUCGCAAGACCUCGCGCGAUUGGAGCGGCCGAUAUCAGAUUAGGUAGUUGGUGGGGUAAAGGCCCACCAAGCCGACGAUCUGUAGCUGGUCUGAGAGGACGACCAGCCACACUGGAACUGAGACACGGUCCAGACUCCUACGGGAGGCAGCAGUGGGGAAUUUUGGACAAUGGGCGCAAGCCUGAUCCAGCAAUGCCGCGUGCAGGAUGAAGGCCUC